AUACAUAUGUAUAUAUCCUUACAGAAUAUGUGAGCAGCGUUAUUUCUUAUGUGUUAGACAAAUAGUUGAAGGUUAAUUAGCAGUAUAACUAAAUCAGAAUGCUGCCAGUCUCCUUCAGACAAAC